rnacentral:tRNA from 1 species
GUGGAUACAUCUCAGUGGUAGAGUGCAUGCUUGACAUACACGAGGUCCUGGGUUCAAUCCCCAGUACCUCCG